AGGACGAACGCUGGCGGCGUGCCUAACAUAUGCAAGUCGAACGGGGAUUUGUUCGGCAGAAUCCUAGUGGCGAACGGGUGAGUAACGCGUAGGCAACCUGCCCUCCGGCCGGGGACAACACUCCGAAAGGGGUGCUAAUACCGGAUACGAAGUCUGUGCCGCAUGGUACGGAUUUGAAAGAUGGCCUCUAUUUAUAAGCUAUCGCCGGGGGAUGGGCUUGCGUCCGAUUAGCUGGUUGGUGGGGUAACGGCCUACCAAGGCGACGAUCGGUAGCCGGCCUGAGAGGGUGAACGGCCACACUGGAACUGAGAUACGGUCCAGACUCCUACGGGAGGCAGCAGUGGGGAAUAUUGGGCAAUGGGGGCAACCCUGACCCAGCGACGCCGCGUGGGGGAAGACGGCCUUCGGGUUGUAAACCUCUUUUGUACGGGAAGAAGGAAGUGACGGUACUGUACGAAUAAGUCCCGGCUAACUACGUGCCAGCAGCUGC
rnacentral:rRNA from 1 species